UGUUCAGUGGCUCAGUUGGUUAAAGCGUCGUAUUAGCAAUACGGAGUCGCGGGUUCAAAUCCCACCAAAACAA
rnacentral:tRNA from 1 species